UACGGAGGAUGCGAGCGUUAUCCGGAUUUAUUGGGUUUAAAGGGUGCGUAGGCGGCUUUUUAAGUCAGCGGUGAAAUUUUGCAGCUUAACUGUAACAGUGCCGUUGAUACUGGGGAGCUAGGAUUUGGUUGCUGUGGGUGGAAUGUGUGGUGUAGCGGUGAAAUGCUUAGAGAUCACACAGAAUAUCGAUUGCGAAGGCAGCUCACAAAGCCAAGAUUGACGCUGAGGCACGAAAGUGUGGGGAGCAAACAGGAUUAGA
rnacentral:rRNA from 1 species